UAUUUUAAAGUUAAAUUCAAAUUCUUGUGUUUCGAUUAUUUUAAAAUCAAUUAUUAAAUUAAAUUCAGUUUUAUAUUAUGUUCUCUUUUUAUCUUUUCAAUUUUUAUGAAUUUAUUUAAGUUUUUCGUUAAAUUUCUCUUUUGCUUUUACUUUUAUUUUUACUUUUAUUUAAAUUUAAUUAAUCUUUUUAUUGAUAUUUUUAUAUCUUUAUUUCCUUCUUUGUAUUAUAAUUAUUUUAUUAUCUUAUUAUUAGUUAAAUUAGUAUUUCUACUGAUAAUUUUUUUUUUUUUCCAAUAAGUAAAUCUUUACAGGAUUUCAAUCUUACAAGCAACAACAAUUAAUUUAUGUGUUAUAUUAUGUUUCAAUUUUUCGCGCGAUUUUUGAAUGAAAAAAAUAAGCAUCAUGAGCCAACCAAUCAGAACAUCCCUUAAUUCGAGACGCGGGACGAAUUAGUGCGCAUCGCAAUGCGCAUCGGAGUGCGCAACGCAGUGCGCAUCACACUGCGCAUGUCGUCAGUCUACAGUUGAAAAUUGUGCGGAGUGGAUGUGUCGUCGCAAAUUCGGAUUACGCAGUUUAAUUGAUAGCGUUAUGGUAAUAUUCUCGAAGGCGGGAAAAAUUCCAAUAUGGACGCCAUGUCUUUCUUGGUGACUUUCUUUCGUGGUAAAAUCAUAUAUUUCAAAAUGUUUGUAACCGCGCGCAAUGCGGUUAAUAGAAUCAGUGUUUGCUUCGUCAUAGUAUUUUGAAUAUUUUUUAGAGCGCAACAGCUCUGAUUAAAUUUAAUUAAAAUAAUCAAACGCGAAGGUAGAAUCAGUGUUUGUUCGCCGAUUAUAAUUUAUACGGACGCGUUAUUAGUCUUUUAUUUUUUAUUUUUUUUUAUUUUAAAUAUUCGUUUUCGGAACAGAGUAGAAUCAGUGCUUCUCUCAAGAGAAUACGGCGAUCAUCCACCACGCGAAGAGAUGCCGAUGAUCUUUAUGAAGAUUUGUUUUUGGACUAAUCUUAAAAAAUAUUUGUGACCGCGCGCAAUGCGGUUAAUCAGAAUCAGUGUUUGCUUCGUCAUAGUAUUUUGAAUAUUUUUUAGAGCGCAACAGCUCUGAUUAAAUUUAAUUAAAAUAAUCAAACGCGAAGGUAGAAUCAGUGUUUGUUCGCCGAUUAUAAUUUAUACGGACGCGUUAUUAGUUUCUUAUUUUUUAUUUUUUUUUAUUUUAAAUAUUCGCUUUCGGUACAGAGUAGAAUCAGUGCUUCUCUCAAGAGAAUACGGCGAUCAUCCAUCACGCGAAGAGAUUUCUUCCGUCUUGAUGACAACCUUCCCUUCUCGAUGACUUCUGGGCUACAAUAAGAGUGAAGCUAUUCGUCGCAUCGUAUGGUGAGUCGCAUGCUUUUUGGUUCCUCCGGUCACUCAAUCAUGUCGUAGGAUGAAAGAUCCGAAUCGACACGAGUGAUUGGUUGUAUACGUAGAAUUUUGCACGAGCACAAUGACCGCGGGUAUUUAUUU